rnacentral:rRNA from 1 species
UACGUAGGGUGCAGGCGUUAAUCGGAAUUACUGGGCGUAAAGCGUGCGCAGGCGGUUUGCUAAGACAGGUGUGAAGUCCCCGGGCUUAACCUGGGAACUGCGCUUGUAACUGGCAAGCUUGAGUGUGGCAGAGGGGGGUGGAAUUCCACGUGUAGCAGUGAAAUGCGUAGAGAUGUGGAGGAACACCGAUGGCGAAGGCAGCCCCCUGGGCUAACACUGACGCUCAUGCACGAAAGCGUGGGGAGCAAACAGG